AGGGGGAUGGCGGAAUCGGUAGACGCAGGGGACUUAAAAUCCUCCGGUGGCAACACCUUGUGGGUUCGACCCCCACCCGCCCUA
rnacentral:tRNA from 1 species